GCUUGCAGGGUCUAGUGGUAUGAUUCUCGCUUAGGGUGCGAGAGGCCCCGCGUUCGAAUCGCGGCCCGAGCC
rnacentral:tRNA from 1 species